CUGACCUGCUAAGGACUCUGAGCAGUCAGAGUAUACUAUCAGUAGUGCUAGUCUACUGUACUGUGUGUUGGUCUGAAUUAAGCAUGAUGAUCUUGGGGUAUUGGGAAGUCAGAGGGGUGAGUGGACCUGCGCAUGCUGGUAAUGGCGGCUGUGUGUGACCAGGACAUAUACUGAUUGCUUGCUUGCUUUUACUUUUUGCAGCUGGUUCAUUCUAUCCGCCUCCUGCUGGAGUACACCGAGACCCCAUUUGAAGACAAGCACUAUGUGGUGGGAGAUG